UUUAUAUAUAUAUAUAUAUACACUGAACUAAUUAUGAACCACACCAAAAUAAUUUGGUUCAUCAGUUUAUAUAUAUAUGUAUGGUUUGGUUAUUUUGAUUCUUUACCAAGAAAACAGAACCAAAAAAGCUUUGUAGCAGAAAAUAUUGCAAUCAAAUUUGAACUUGAUGAACACAAAGCAACUUUUCUAUGAUAAUUUUUUACUAUCAGAAUUCUUUAUCCAUCCAAAUAUCUUCAAUUUCAUUGCAGUGAAGAACUGAAGAUCCUCACAACUUUGCUUAAACAGUCAUCAAAUGAGAGGGAAAAAAAAAAGGAGAUUGGGCAGAGGGAUAAAACAAGAGUUCAUUAAACAAUAGAACAAAAAAAAAACAUUGCACUAUCCACAACCCAUAUAUUGGAAAGUACGCUUGCCAUAUCAAGCCUACAGCACUACUUUUCAAGUGUCAAUCAUCAUCAACAAACAGUUGAUUCCAUUACUAAUGUAAACCAAUAACUUGAGAUAAUAUUUAUCAGUAACCUAAUAUGCAUUUAGACUAUAAAUUGAUGUCCAUUCAGCCAUUUCAAAUUCCAGAAGAAAAUGAUAAAGAGCCUUUUACAAUUACGUUACCCAUACCACUGAACAAAAUUUCAACCAUCAUUUAGGAGUUUAAAGGAGCAGUCAUAUCUGUAUCAAGAUUAAUUCAAGAAUCAACAACAGAAACAUAUUCUUUUUUCACUCUAUUUCUUCUCUCUAAUUCUUUCCUUCUAACUGCUUUCUCUAAUUCUUCUCUUUCUUCUACUGUUUCUUCUCUUCUUGAAAGCUAAAACCUUGUAUCAGAGCUUUGUUACUAGUGGGCUUUGCUUCCAAGUUGAUUGGUGAGAGUCACAACAAUGGCUAGAAGUGUUGUAGUGAAUCAGGAGGCCAUCAGGAGUGCUGAGUUGGAAGAAAAGAUCCAGAAUGUCCAAAGUCGAACAGACAGAGCACUUGAGGAAAUCAGGGUUGAGAUAAAAACAGAACAAUAUUGAGCUCAUGAGAGUCGUUCUUGAUAAAAUGUGAUCCUUAUUGGCUGGAUUCUUGAGUGAAAAAAUGCCAAAGGAGUGAGUAGUGGGAACGUGAUGUUGCCAUGAAGUUGGACAGAGUUGAGGGCAGGGGAAUCUUGCCAACUCCUAAGGAAUUUUUGAGUGCCCAACAGAGGGAGCAAAGAAGUUCUGGGCCUUCAAUGGAGAUAAGAGAAAUACAUGGAUUAUUGCCCAAAAUUGAGCUGGUGACGUGAUGGAUGGGAGCCUAGUGUGUGCCUAAGAAAGUGUGAAAAGUACAUUAAAGUACAAUGGGCGCCCAAAGUACAUUAAAGUACAUUGGGCGCCC
rnacentral:misc_RNA from 1 species